GGCAUGCCUAACACAUGCAAGUCGAACGGUAACAGGACGCUAGGAUCCCUUCGGGGUGACUUUGUCGCUGACGAGUGGCGGACGGGUGAGUAAUACAUAGGAAUCUACCCAGUAGUGGGGGAUAACUUGGAGAAAUCCAUGCUAAUACCGCAUAUGCCCUACGGGGCAAAGCAGGGGACCCUCGGGCCUUGCGCUAUUGGAUGAGCCUAUGUCGGAUUAGUUAGUUGGUAGGGUAAUGGCCUACCAAGGCAACGAUCCGUAGCUGGUCUGAGAGGAUGAUCAGCCACACUGGGACUGAGACACGGCCCAGACUCCUACGGGAGGCAGCAGUGGGGAAUAUUGCACAAUGGGCGCAAGCCUGAUGCAGCAAUGCCGCGUGUGUGAAGAAGGCCUGCGGGUUGUAAAGCACUUUUAUUGGGAAAGAAAAACCCGGAGCUAAUACCUCCGGCAUUGACGGUACCCAAAGAAUAAGCACCGGCUAACUCAGUGCCAGCAGCCGCGGUAAUACGGAGGGUGCAAGCGUUGUUCGGAAUUACUGGGCGUAAAGGGCGCG
rnacentral:rRNA from 1 species